ensembl:miRNA gmo-mir-727b gmo-mir-727b
UCAGUCUUCAGUUCCUCCCAGCCCAUGAGCAUGGCAAAGGUGUGUUGAGGCGAGUUGAAGACUUUA